rnacentral:lncRNA from 1 species
AUAAUCCUUAAGAUAAGAGGGAGGAUUAUGCUGUCUUUCAGAUUUUCUGGGAGCAGGAAUAGAUGGGGAAGAGGCCAAAGCAGGAGGAGAGAUAUCAGUAUCGAAAGAAGAAAUGGAAGCUGGAUCAGUAGAAUCUGGAGCAAUAUGAUGAGGUGCUGGAACAGAUGUACAAGGAAGAGGAGAGGAGAUAGGAAUGGAAGGGUCUGGAUCAGUGGAAUGUUCUACAACUGGAACAAAAGGAGAGGAUGAAGGAGAAGGAUGAACAGAAGAGGAUGCAUUCUUAAAGGAAAAAUAGGUUUCAUGGAAUAUAACAUCCCUGGAAACAAAACAUUUCUUGGAAGCAAGAUCAUACAAUUUUUCAUGGAAUAUAACAUCCCUGGAAACAAAACAUUGCUUGGAAGCAAGAUCAUACAAUUUAUAACCCUUUUUGGCAAAAGGAUAUCCCAGGAAAACACAAGAAAUGGCUCUUGGCCUUAACUUGUCCCUUUGAGGAAUUGGGACAGUAGCAUAUGCAAGGCACCCAAAUGCUCUCAUAUGAGAAUAGGUUGGAGCUUUCCCAUACAAAAUCUCAUUAGGAGACUUAUUGUGAAGCAAUCUGGAUGAUAUUCUGUUAAGGAGAUAAGUGGCAGUCAACAAACAGUCCCCCUAGAAAGACACAGGUAGCCCAGAUUGAAAAAGUAAAGCUCUACAUGUUUCAAGGAGGGUUAUAUGCUUUCUUUCAACAACACCAUUCUGUUGAGGAGAAUAAGGGCAGGUGGUAUGAUGAAUAAUCCCCUGGCUACUAAAGAAAGAGGUACCCUUAAUGCUGGACCCCAAUUCUAAAGCAUUGUCACUUCUAACAGUUUGAACCACAGCAUCAAAUUAGGUUUUAACCAAACACAGGAAUGACUUAAGCAAAGAAAAAGCAUUGCUUUUAGAUCCCAUUAA